rnacentral:lncRNA from 1 species
UUUCAGGAACACAAUAGAAAUUUCGCAUGCAUGCUAGCAUUGAAGCCUGACAAUGACCACAUUGUCCCCAUUCCACGUGGCAAAGAGAAUAAAAAGACCAGGAGAUGGCAGAAGGACCGAGGACCUGGGGAGAAGACAGGAGGAGACUGGGGAGGGGGGGAGGGGGAAGGAACUGCUGCCUCUUUCCCAUGGAGAGAGAAAUGCCACAGGAUCCGGGCACUCCCUACAUCUCUCCACCUUCCGCCACCCCGUGAGCCUCUGCAGGGAGAUUUUUCUGAAUAAUGGGCCAUUUUCCUGUUUUAAUCAGAUGCAAUUUUGCAAGCAGUUUUUAUGAUUUAGCAAGUCCAUUAAAACUGGCGUUUGUUCUGCUCUGACACUCGAAAGGGGCUCUGCAGAGCAUAAACAUUGGAAAUUACUUAUAGGGAGAGACAAUAUUAAAAUUCCCCAGCCCAAGCCUGUUGUCUGAGAGAUUCUGCUAUCAAGCAUCAUGCCAGCUAUCAUCAGAGGCACUGGAGAUAUAUACUGCCUCCUCUUUAUACACUGGCUGGGGGCUCAGCAACUCAGGCAGCAAUAAAGAGGCUGCUGCUUUCCUUCAACACUUUAGGCAUCCGGAGAGGAAUGGGUCUUAAAGGGAACUUGCGGGAAGAGCAGGUCGCAAGUACAGGCUGGAGAGGAGAAGGGCCAGUGAGCAUGCCUUUAAGAGCCACUGUGGAAACUGCUUUCCGGCCCACAGUGAACAAUAGGGUCUAUUGGUCCAUAAUUAAGGAGGUUGUUUUUUGUCAAUUUCAUUUGUAGUCAAUUCUCAAUUAUCCAUGUACUAACAGAUGACCUGUUCA